GACGAACGCUGGCGGCGUGCUUAACACAUGCAAGUCGAACGGAAAGGCCCUGCUUGCAGGGUACUCGAGUGGCGAACGGGUGAGUAACACGUGGGUGAUCUGCCCUGCACUUCGGGAUAAGCCUGGGAAACUGGGUCUAAUACCGGAUAGGAGCCAUUUUUAGUGUGAUGGUUGGAAAGUUUUUUCGGUGUAGGAUGAGCUCGCGGCCUAUCAGCUUGUUGGUGGGGUAAUGGCCUACCAAGGCGGCGACGGGUAGCCGGCCUGAGAGGGUGGACGGCCACAUUGGGACUGAGAUACGGCCCAGACUCCUACGGGAGGCAGCAGUGGGGAAUAUUGCACAAUGGGCGCAAGCCUGAUGCAGCGACGCCGCGGAGGGGAUGACGGCCUUCGGGUUGUAAACUCCUUUCGCUAGGGACGAAGCUUUUUGUGACGGUACCUAGAUAAGAAGCACCGGCUAACUACGUG
rnacentral:rRNA from 1 species